rnacentral:lncRNA from 1 species
GUUAAAAGAUGGAGUUUUAACAAUUCCACUACCAAAUUGCCACCUGGACCAUGGGAACUACCCCUCAUAGGAAACUUACAUCAGAUUAUCAGCAGAUCAUUGCCCCAUCACCGCUUCAAAAUUUUGGCUGAUAAAUAUGGACCUUUAAUGCACCUUAAACUAGGAGAGGUACCAUACAUAAUAGUUAGUUCACCAGAAAUUGCCAAAGAGAUUAUGAAAACACAUGACCUUACCUUUAGUGAUAGGCCAAACCUUCUUUUGGCCACAAUAUUAACUUACAAUGCUACUGAUGUUAUAUUCUCUAAAUAUGGAGAACGGUGGAGGCAACUACGAAAGAUAUGUGUUGUAGAGCUAUUAAGUGCAAAGCGUGUCCAAUCAUUUAGGUCCACAAGAGAAGAUGAAGUAUCAAAUCUUGCUACAUCAAUAACUGCAAGUGAAGGAUCAAUUGUUAAUCUCACUCAUAAGAUUUUCUCAAUGACAUAUGGGAUAACAACGCGGGCGGCUUUUGGCAAAAGGAGCAAACACCAGCAAUCGUUUAAAUCAGCAGUAGAGGAAAUAGUAAGUUUGUUGGGAGGCAUUUGUAUUGUUGAUUUGUAUCCUUCUAUUAAAUUGCUUCAAUGCGUGAGUAGGGCGAAGGCCAAAAUGGAAAAACUUCACAAAGAGAUUGAUAUGAUAUUGCAAGACAUUAUCGACGAUCACAAAAGCAUUCACAAGGAAGAUAGCAAUGAAGAAUAUCUAGUAGAUGUUCUUCUCAAGAUUCAACAGGAAAAUUAUCACUCACAACAUCCUUUAACCGAUGACAAUAUAAAGUCAAUCAUCCAGGUUAGUCAACAAUCAAAAGUGUUAGAAAGUUUAUUUCAAAAUUAAAAACUAGUUUAUAAAUUUGCAUAUAUGCUUAGAAGUCAGAUUUCCUAGAGGAAGAAAAUAAGAUUAUCUUGAUUAAUAAUAGUAUUUUGGUGAGAACAUCAUAUUAAUGACUUAACUUUUGUUUAGAGAAAUAGAUCGUGUUAAUGUUAAUCCAUUUGUAGGACAUAUUCGAUGCUGGUACCGAAACAUCGUCAACGACUGUGUUAUGGGCGAUAUCUGAGAUGGUAAAGAAUCCAAAGGUGAUGGAAGAAGCACAAGCUGAGGUAAGAAGAGUUUUUGAUAGGAAGGGGUUUGUGGAUGAGACAGAGUUGCACCAAUUGAUAUACUUAAAAUCUGUGAUCAAGGAAACAAUGAGGCUACAUCCAACCGUACCGUUGUUACUUCCAAGAGAAAGUAGGGAGAGAUGCCAAAUCAAUGGGUAUGAAAUCCCAGCUAAGACAAGGGUCAUGGUUAAUGCUUGGGCUAUUGGAAGAGAUCCAAGGUAUUGGGUUGAUGCUGAAAGUUUUAAACCUGAGAGGUUUGUUAAUAGUCCAAUUGAUUUCAAAGGCACAGACUUUGAAUACAUACCAUUUGGUGCUGGAAGAAGGAUGUGUCCCGGAAUUGCAUUUGCCUUACCCAACGUUGAAUUGCCUCUUGCUAGUUUACUUUACCACUUUGAUUGGAAGCUUCCCAAUAAAAUGAAGAAUGAAGAACUAGAUAUGACCGAGUCAUUUGGGAUUACUGCAGGUAGAAAGCACAAUCUAUGCUUAAUUCCUAUUACUCGUCGUCUUUAAUAUGUAUUGUCUAAGCAAACAAGUUCAGAAACGACGUUCCUAAUAAAAUUUGUAUUGGUUAUCUUUACGUAUAGGUUCACUAUAUGUUGUCUAAAAUUUGUGUAUGAUAUUUGUUCCACAAACAAAUAUAGAAUUUAUGUUGAAAGGAAGUUGCGAACUAUUUGUACAGUAUUGUGUAAUACAUUAACCAGAGAAGAAUCUUUUCCUUGACUGCCAAGGAAGAAAUCCACCUAAAAUCGAUAGCAUAUGAAGAAUGAAGAAGGGUUGUGAGGCAAUCAACAUCACACAAGUAACUUACCUUAAAAAAAUAGAGAAACAAUAAAUCAAUGAGAAGUAAUUAACAAUGCUUAUAUAGGACCAUAAUCAUAAAUAUAUAAAAAUGCUAAAUCCAUAUUAAUGGUUAUGAAAUCUAAUUCUUCCUCUCUGUUAAUCUUGUACUUUACACUAAUAGUGGUAGCUUUCCCUAUAUGGGUCUUAUAACAAUAACAUAAAAAACAUAAUGCUAUGUUCGCCAGUUCAUUUUUACAACAGAAGCAUUUGUAUCAUUAAAUCUAAAUAUGAAAAAGAACAUUCUUGGAGAAUCUUUGCAAAAAGGGUAGAUUAAAGGCUUGUUGAAUCCAAUGAAUUUUCCAGCACCAUUUCAAAGUUUUCAUUUAGUCCAAUGAGAGAUCAACAAUGCAUCAUUUACAAAAAUUGUAUAUUGAGAAUGUGAUAUAUAUAUAUACACGAUGCAAUAAACACUUGCCAACUGUAUUUUGAAAUCUUCGCUAUGCUAUCUCUCGCUGUAAAUAGCAUUUUCCUAUAAUUAAUUUGGCAUAAAAGUCUAAUCAUGAUUAUGUUUCGUGUGAUACAUGAGUGCUUGGAAAGAUUAGUGUUAGGAAAGAGUGAUAUUACAAAUGAGUGAAUCAACCCACUAAUGGGAUGGUUACAACCAUAUAUACUACUACAAGACUAAUACUAAUUGUGUCUAAACUAUAUCUCUAAUAAUUAGUGAUAGUUGAGAUGAAAGUUUUCUCAACUAUCAGAUCUUCUUUCUUAGAUCACCCUUUGAUCUUUACAUAAGAAAAAUGCUAUUUACAGCGAGAGAUAACAUAGCGAAGAUUUCUAGAUACAGUUGGCAAGUGUUUAUUGCAUCGUGUAUUUGUUUACUUCCUAUUUUUCAGCCACACCUCCUUGAAUUGUGUCAAAUAGCACAUUGUGAUUGGCUGCUCUUUAUUCUUGAAGAGAUCGUGAUGUUAUUUUUCUAGAGAUAUAGCAUUGCUCUUAAUUAUGUUCGCAUAGUAGCCCUGUCUCUUUUGAGGCAAGGGCGAGGGUUUGGUUGUUGCUCUCGUAGUUGCACUCUUAUCCUUUGAAGUUGAUAAAUGAAACCAACUUCAAUUGACAACAUAAUGAAAGCUCAACAGACAUAAGCAUAAGGUGUUUUGGAAAGUGGCCAUAGUCCAAAAUUAAUUCAGUUUUUUUUUUUAUUUCUUUUCCGGUAAGAAUGAUUGAUUUGGUGAUAAUGACAUGACAUAUAAUUACAAGUCUAACAAGACCCUAUUUGAAAAAAGAUAGAUUACCAAAUGGAGUGCUGAAAUCACUAGUGUCUUUUGGUUUAACUAUGUAGUGUUACUAUUAAUUUUUACUAUUUUUACACUAAGCUCUUCAAAAUGUUAGUGGAUGAUUUUUUCAUGUGCAUAAUACAAAAAAUAUGAAAUUUGCAUGAGUCAGCCUAAAAUUGAAAGGAUCAAUUUAAUAAGCCCUUGAAGACGGGAAGAUGACAAUCGAGUCUGGCAUGGUGUGCUGCAAUUUAAUUAACUCUUAAUCGCAAAUUAUUAAUGUGAUGGUGUUGUUUGUUUUAUUUUGACUCCACUAAGUACACCUUGUUCUUUAUAUGUGUGUGUCUUUCUACUAAGUUGCUUUGGAUUGGAUGGUAUCAAUAUUUUUUAAGUAUAUGUGCUUAGGUUGUUCUAUUUUUGACCACACAAAGCACACCUUAUGAUUCAUGUGUGUCUUUAUUAAAUUGCUUUGCAUAUAUUAAAAGAAAUAAAAAUAAACAACAGGCACAUGGUUGGUGCAAGGAGAAAAUGUUAUUUAACAUGUCUGCAUUAUAUUGAAAUUGCAAGUGAUCUAAUUUUGAGUGUUUUGCAUAGAAAUCUUCUUUGUCAAGGCACUCUUCAGAUUCUCUAGAUCAAGCUACCAUCAUGGAGCUUCAAAAUCCUUUUUCGAAUAUCAUCUUCAUUCUCUCCUUUCUCAUCCUCUUAGUUCUAUUCAAAAUAGUUCAAAGAUGGAGUUUUAACAAUUCGACUACCAAAUUGCCACCAGGACCAUGGAAACUACCCCUCAUAGGAAACUUACAUCAGAUUAUCAGCAGAUCAUUGCCCCAUCAUCUCUUCAAAAUUUUGGCAGAUAAAUAUGGACCUCUAAUGCACCUUAAACUAGGAGAGGUACCAUACGUAAUAGUUAGUUCACCAGAAAUUGCCAAAGAGAUUAUGAAAACACAUGAUCUCAACUUCUGCGACAGGCCAAACCUUCUUUUGUCCAAUAUAUAUAGUUACAAUGCUACAGACAUUGCCUUCGCUGCAUACGGUGAACAUUGGAGGCAAUUACGAAAGAUAUGUGUUAUAGAGCUAUUAAGUGCAAAGCGUGUACAAUCAUUUAGGUCCAUAAGAGAAGAUGAGGUGUCAAACCUUGUUAAAUCAAUAACUGCAAGUGAAGGAUCAGUUGUUAAUCUCACUCGGAAGAUUUUCUCAAUGACAAAUGGGAUAACAGCGCGGGCAGCUUUUGGGAAAAGGAAUAGACACCAAGAUGUGUUCAUACCAGCAUUGGAGAAAGUAGUGGUGCUAUUAGGAAGAUUUGAAAUUGCAGAUUUGUAUCCUUCUAUUAAAUUGCUUCAAUGGAUGACUAGGGAGAAGACCAAAAUGGAAAAACUUCAUACAGAGAUUGAUAUGAUAGCACAAGACAUCAUCGACGAUCACAGAAGUAUUCACAAGGAAGCAAGCAAUGAUGAAGAUCUAGUAGAUGUUCUUCUCAAGAUUCAACAGGAAAAUUAUCACUCAGAACAUCCUUUAACCGAUGACAAUAUGAAAUCAAUCAUCCAGGUUAGUCUAAACCGAAAGUGUUAGCAAGUUUAUUUCACAAUUUAAAAACUAGUUUACAAAUUUGCAUACGCUUAGAAGUCAGAUUUCUAGAGGAAAAAUAAAUAAGAUUAUCUUGAUUAAUAAUGCUCAUUCCGUCCCUAUAUCUAAGCAGUAAGCACCCUUUUAUUAGAGGGAAAGGGUGCUUACAUACAGGGACGGGGGGAGUAGUAUUUUGGAGAGACGUCAAAUUAAUGACUUAACUAUUGGGUAGCGUUGUAUGUAAUGUUAAUGUUAAUCCAUUUGUAGGACAUGUUCCUUGCUGGUACCGAAACAUCGUCACAGGUUCUGUUAUGGGCGAUGUCUGAGAUGGUGAAGAACCCAAAGGUAAUGGAAGAAGCACAAGAUGAAGUAAGUAGAGUGUUUGAUAAAAAGGAGUAUGUGGAUGAGACAGAGUUGCACCAAUUGAUAUACUUAAAGUCCGUCAUCAAAGAAACAUUGAGGUUGCAUCCCGUUGCACCAUUGUUAGUUCCAAGAGAAAGUAGGGAGAGAUGCCAAAUCAAUGGGUAUGAAAUCCCAGCUAAGACAAGGGUAAUGGUUAAUGCUUGGGCUAUUGGAAGAGAUUCAAGGUAUUGGGUUGAAGCUGAGAGUUUUAAACCUGAGAGGUUUGUUAAUAGUCCAAUUGAUUUCAAAGGCACGGACUUCGAAUUCAUACCAUUUGGUGCUGGAAGAAGGAUGUGUCCAGGUAUUUCAUUUGCCAUACCCAAUGUUGAGCUGCCUCUUGCUAAGUUACUUUAUCACUUUGAUUGGAAGCUUCCCAAUGGAAUGAGCCAUCAAGAACUUGAUAUGACUGAGUUUUUUGGGAUUACUGUAGGUAGAAAACACGACCUAUGUUUAAUUCCUACUACUCGUCGUCUUUAAUGUGUAUUAUCUAAGCAAACAAAUUCAAAAACAAUGUUCCUAAUAAAAUUUGUAAUGGUAAACUUUACAUAUAGGUUUACUAUAUGUCGUCUAAAAUUUGUGUAUGAUUGUACCACAAAUAUAGAAUAUGUGUCCAAGCAUUGCAUUUGGUUUAGCCAAUGUUGAACUGCGUCUUGCUGAAUUACUUUAUGACUUUGAUUGAAAGCUUUCCAAUGGAAUGAAUAAUGAAGAACAGUCGUUUGGGCUGACAGUCGGAAGAAAACACGACCUAUGUUCGUUUCCUAUUACAGGUUGUCUAUAAUAUUUGUAUUGUGCACUGCCUUUCAAAAAGAAAUAUUUGUAUUGUCUAACCAAAGAAGUUCACAAUGUGGUUAAUUAAUUACUUAUACUACUUUCUGCAAGGCGUCGUGUAAUUCGUUGUUCACAUUUUUAUUAAGAUUCUACGUUUGACAUUAGAUAACUUGAAAAUCCUGGGAUUUCUUCGGUUAAUCAGUUUGUUCCAACUCCUUCAUCAAAUCAAGAUAUGCCAAAGCAUUUGCAUCAUUUUGCACGCCUAUUUUAGUAUGUUUAAUUUGUAAGGAUUAAGAUUUCUCUCUCGGUUUUCUAUGUAGGACCACGAGAAAGAUGCAACUAAUUUCAUUUUUGUGUCAUGUCUCACUUGGUUCUCAGCAUUUGCAAACAUGCAUGUCGGUAAGUAUGUACGAGCAUGAAACAUUAUUCUUGUUAUUCAUUGCCUAUCCAAAAUAAAUAAAUAAAAUAGUUUUUGUAUUCUUUAAUGGGAAAUGCUAAUUAACUUGUCUAUUUAUGAAAUCUUUAACAUGAGUCAUAAGGGUACAAGUUAACAAGACCCUUCAUUAAUUUACCAAGCUUGUUUAAUGUUUUAACUUCAGGGGACACACAAGGAAUGCGGUGAAAGGAAUUUAGCAACAAAUUCAAAAUUCUUUGUGCUUUUGUACCCAAAUAAAUAGAUAUGUUUUUUUUACCUGAAAUCAUUAAAAUUUCAGGUAACGAUAAGUUAAUUAUUAAAGGAGUAAUGCUAGCAACACUCUUUUGAACACACUCUUUAAUACUACAUUUCUUAUUGGUUUAAAUCAUUGUGAGUCUACACUUUGAAAAUUGAACCUACACAAAGUGAUGGGACAUACAUUAAUUUCAUCUAAUAAAAGAGUGGAUGCUACAAAGAGUGUUCAAAAAUAAAUGUUUCUAACAUUACUAUUAUUGAUGUGUUGCCUCUUAUCUCAUUUUAAUAAAAAUCUCACCACUAGUUCAUAUACUUUACCACUAGUUUCUCACACUACACAUUCUAACACUAGGGUUUAUAAUAUCAUUCUGAUUCACGAACUAGUUAAAAGAUGUUGUUUUUUCAAGGGCGAGGGUUUGGUUGUUGCUCUCUUAGUUGCACUCUUAUCCUUUGAAGUUGAUAAAUAAAUGAAACCAAUUACUUCGAUUGAUUAUGAAAGCUCAAAAGACAUAAGUAUAAGGUGUUUUGGAAAGUGGCCCAUAGACCAAAAUUAAUUCAGAUUUUUUUUCCGGUAAGGGUGAUUGAUUUGGUAAUAAUGACAUAUAAUUACAAGUCUAGCAAGACCCUAUUUGAAAAUGAUAGAUUACCAAAUGGAGUUUAUCUGAAAUCACUAGUGUCUCUUGGUUUAACUAUGUAGUGCUAUUAUUAAUUCUUACAAAUAAUUUAUUUGACAUAAUGACCGAAGUAAAUAAUACAUUAAGCUCUUCAAAAUGUUUGUGGAUGAUUUUUUCAUGUGCAUAAUACAAAAAAUAUAAUUCCACAAAAAAAUUGAUAGGAUCAAUUCAAUUUAAUAAGCCCUUGAAGGAAGAUGACAAUCGAGUCUGACAUGGCGUGCUGCAAUUUAAUUAACUCUUAAUCGCAAAUUAUUAAUAUGAUGGUGUUGGACGUUUCAUUUUGACUCCACAAAGUACACCUUAUUCUUCAUGUGUGUCUUACUUUUUAUUAAAUUGCUUUGGACUGGUUGUUCUAUUUUUUACCACACAAAGCACACCUUAUGCUUCAUUUGUGUCUUUAUUAAAUUGCUUUGCAUAUAUUAAAAAAUAAUAAUAAACAACAGGCACAUGUUUGGUGCAAGGAGAAAAUGUUAUUUAACAUGUCUGCAUUAUAUUGAAAUUGCAAGUGAUCUAAUUUUGAGUGUUUUGCAUAGAAAUCUUCUUUGUCAAGGCACUCUUCAGAUUCUCUAGAUCAAGCUACCAUCAUGGAGCUUCAAAACCCUUUUUCGAAUAUCAUCUUCAUGCUCUCCUUUCUCAUCCUCUUAGUUCUAUUCAAAAUAGUUCAAAGAUGGAGUUUUAACAAUUCCACUACCAAAUUGCCACCAGGACCAUGGAAACUACCCCUCAUAGGAAACUUACAUCAGAUUAUCAGCAGAUCAUUGCCCCAUCACCUCUUCAAAAAGUUGGCAGAAAAAUAUGGACCUUUGAUGCACCUUAAACUAGGAGAGGUACCAUAUGUAAUAGUUAGUUCACCAGAAAUGGCAAAAGAGGUUAUGAAAACACAUGACCUUACAUUUUGUGAUAGGCCAAACCUUCUUUUGUCAACAAUAUGGAGUUACAAUGCUACAAAUAUUGUCUUCGCUACAUACUGUGAACAUUGGAGGCAAGUACGAAAGAU